CCACAUGAAGAUGAAGUCUUGAAGCACAUAUAUAGGAAGUGGAAACGACCUAGAGACAGGUCAAUUUCUAACAAUAAAAUAGAUACUACAAUGAACACACUAAAAAUAAGGCAUUUACAGAAUAAGAUUAUAUACCCUGCGCAAUGUGCCUACCAUUUAUAUGGUCUUGAAUCAUGCAUGCAACUGCAUGAAUCUCAGGGUAUUCUAGAAGAAGGCCUAUUAUCUUUACAAACAAAUGCUGUAAUGAAUAAAACUUACUUUGACAAGGAACUCAUCAAGAACAAUGAAAUGGAAAAAAAAACUGUUAAAAUUCAUGUCUUGGCUCCUCAAAAUGAAGGGACUGACUAUUUUGAUAUGCUCCUUUGA